rnacentral:rRNA from 1 species
AUGGUGUCUUCUGGGUCCAAGGAGCCACUUGGUGAUAUUGGUGUGCCAUCAACCACCUUGUUGGAUGAGUUUCUAAGCGGUUUCAGUUGCGCAACGCCGCGGUCCUUGCUCGAAGAACCGAUUCAUGUGCAGAUUGACGGGGCAUCUACUUGUUCCGAGAGGCGUAGUGGACGUUUGGAGAAGAAGAACAGGAGCUGCAACAUUCCUACUGCCAAGCGCGCUGAAUAUAGGUUGGCGGAGGCUUAUGGGGAACUCCCGAAGGGGAUGGCAUCUCAGAAAGGCUCCGAGGAGGAUGUGCAAGAGAAGAUGAACUCUUAUCUUCGGAUGUACAAGAAACCGCCUACGCCGACUGCGAUCCAGGCAAUUCGUUCAUUGGUGGAGGCCAAUGGUUAA